CGUGCUUCCCGAUUGAUGUUACUGUUAUUGUCAGCGGUGAGGCUCGUUGGUUGUCAUGGAAACAGACUGCGAACAGUUUGCAUCCGGGGACACGGGCGUCCUGUUGCUCGGCUGAGCCGUUUUCCUUUCGGCUCUGGGAAAAUGGAAGAGUGGAUGGUGGAGGGAAUUGCUGGCUUUCUCAGCAGUUCGUGUUGGACUGUUCCAAUCACCGAUUUCAUCGAACAGAACUGUGCAGUUUUUGACGAUGAAGAGGAAAAUAAGUUAUCCUAUACAGAAAUCCAUCAGGAUUACAAGGAUUUGGUAGAACAAUUGUUAGAGGGCUACCUUCAAGAUGUUGGGAUCCAGGAGGACCAAUUUUUGGAAGCCUGCAGAUCCCCACUUGCACAGUCUGAAUCAUUUCAGCCUGUCUUCCAACCAGUACUAGCUGCAGAAGAUUUUCAAGUCUUUAAGUCACUGAUGUUACAGAAAAACAUUGAACUGCAAUUACAAGCUCUUCGAAUGAUUCAAGAGAGAAAUGGAGUUCUACCUGAUUGCUUAACAGAUGGAAAGGACAAAAUCAGUGAACUGGAGCAACAAGAACUUAGAAUAUUGAGAGAAGUAUUGAAGCAAUCAAAAGAUGAGUAUGAACGGGAGGUAGCAAAGAGAUAUGCUACUGAGACAGGAGCCAAAGCUGGAACAACGCAAAGUGAUUUAGAGAAAGCAAUUGUGGAGAAUGCACAACAGGAGGAAGCUCGACUUUCUAGACAACAUGAACAAGAAAAAGAAAAUUUACAACGGGCUGUUCAAAAAUCUUUACAAAAGAGAACAUCAGCAAGAGAAGAUGCAGUUGCAUCCACAAGUAACCUAGAUGAGAAUGUUAUGAAGUCAAAAAAAGUCUCAGAGAUAGUUACAGAAACGAUACCCUCGUGUGAAAUGAGAAACAAGAUGGGCAAUGAUCAAGAAAAGAAUUUAUCAGAACGAAGUAAUGGAAUUUCCAGAAAAGCAUUAGGACCAGUCCGGGUUCCAGUAAAAGGAGAAGAGCAACCAUUGCCUUCAGAAGCAGUAGAAAAAAGGAUACACCAAAGUGAUGCAGUGGAGACCUGGCUGCAACACGCAAAAAAAGAAGCGGGCAUUUCAGGCUCUGUUAUGGAACUUUCUGAGAGUGAGAAGAGGGAGCUUCAUGAACGAGCAGCAUAUCUAAAGGAACAGCGUGAUAAAUUAGUGGCUAUGAAGAAAGAACAAAGGGAGAAACAUCUAUCAAAAAAUCCAGAAAGCCAGAAACCACAACCUGUACUAGAAGCCAAAGAGAAUGGAAGUACUAGAAAUUCUACUUUGUAGCAAAUAAUGAAACACAGCUGGAAGAAGCAUUGCACACAACAAUAUGUGUUCAACACGUCUUAGUAGAAAAGAAAAUUUCUGAGGAAGAAAAGCAGAAAAUUCAGAAGAGAAAACAUUUGGCAGAAAAACUUAAACAGGAAGUUAUCAAAAAAUAAAACGUGUGGACGGUAAAGUUAAAGAAGAAAGAAUCCAAAACCUGAUAUUCUGUCUUUGAUUUAAGUGUAUUCAAAUAUUAGCAGUACUGUAUUACAUGCGACUGUGACCAGUGAUAGUUUGCAGAGAAUAAUGAAAUAGUACAGCAACAAUGGCAGUCUUCUACUUCCAUUUGAAAAUAUUUACAUACUAUAAUUGCAAAAUCAAAUUGUUUGCAAAUGAAUGUGCAGUGAUAGUUGACCUUUGUAUUCCUGUCAGCUGUAAUGUUUUGCUGUAAGUCAAACUAUUGUUGCCUGUAAAGUGCCAGAAUUAAUAGCUAUCUCAUUAUUUACUAUGCGCUUGUAUAAUAAACUGAUUUGUCUAGCC